rnacentral:rRNA from 1 species
AGCGAACGCUGGCGGCAGGCCUAACACAUGCAAGUCGAGCGGCCCUUCGGGGCAGCGGCGGACGGGUGAGUAACGCGUGGGAACGUGCCCUUUGGUACGGAACAACUGAGGGAAACUUCAGCUAAUACCGUAUGUGCCCUACGGGGGAAAGAUUUAUCGCCAUUGGAGCGGCCCGCGUUAGAUUAGCUAGUUGGUAGGGUAAUGGCCUACCAAGGCGACGAUCUAUAGCUGGUCUGAGAGGAUGAUCAGCCACACUGGGACUGAGACACGGCCCAAACUCCGACGGGAGGCAGCAGUGGGGAAUCUUGCGAAAUGGGCGAAAGCCUGACGCAGCCAUGCCGCGUGAAUGAUGAAGGUCUUAGGAUUGUAAAAUUCUUUAACCGGGGACGAUAAUGACGGUACCCGGAGAAGAAGCCCCGGCUAACUUCGUGCCAGCAGCCGCAGUAAAAC